GAUGAAGAACGCAGCGAAAUGCGAUACUUGGUGUGAAUUGCAGGAUCCCGUGAACCAUCGAGUCUUUGAACGCAAGUUGCGCCCGAAGCCAUUAGGCCGAGGGCACGCCUGCCUGGGCGUCACACGUCGUUGCCCCCCCAUCUAAUCCUUCGGGAUUGCGGGGGGCGGAUGAUGGCCUCCCGUGCGCCUCGUCGCGCGGUUGGCAUAAAUGCCAAGUCCUCGGCGACGCACGCCACGACAAUCGGUGGUUGCGAAACCUCGGUUGCCCGUCGUGUGCGGUCGUCGCGCAUCGAGGGCUCGAAAAAAUUGCCGGGCUCCGGCUCGACUUUCAACGCGACCCCAGGUCAGGCGGGGUUACCCGCUGAAUUUAAGCAUAUCAAUAAGCGGAGGA
rnacentral:misc_RNA from 1 species